GGAAUAUUGCGCAAUGGAGGAAACUCUGACGCAGUGACGCCGCGUAUAGGACGAAGGUCUUCGGAUUGUAAACUAUUGUCGUUAGGGAAGAAAAAGGACAGUACCUAAGGAGGAAGCUCCGGCUAACUACGUGCCAGCAGCCGCGGUAAUACGUAGGGAGCAAGCGUUAUCCGGAUUUAUUGGGUGUAAAGAGUGCGUAGACGGGAAGUUAAGUUGGUCUGUGAAAUCCCUCGGCUCAACUGAGGAACUGCAACCAAAACUGAUUUUCUUGAGUGCUGGAGAGGAAAGUGGAAUUCCUAGUGUAGCGGUGAAAUGCGUAGAUAUUAGGAGGAACACCAGUGGCGAAGGCGACUUUCUGGACAGUAACUGACGUUGAGGCACGAAAGCGUGGGGAGCGAACA
rnacentral:rRNA from 1 species